GGCGCGGCCGCCGGAAGUGCGUGGCCGCCAGGGGCCAUGGCGGCACUCAGCUUCGUCUUCCUGCUGUUGGGGGCAGCGUCCUGGCCGCCGGCUUGUGCCUCCGGCCAGGAGUUCUGGCCCGGCCAGUCGGCGGCCGACAUUCUGUCGGGGGCGGCGUCCCGCAGACGGUAUCUUCUGUAUGACGUCAACCCCCCGGAAGGCUUCAACCUGCGCAGGGAUGUCUAUAUCCGAAUCGCCUCUCUCCUGAAGACUCUGCUCAAGACGGAGGAGUGGGUGCUCGUCCUGCCUCCGUGGGGCCGCCUCUAUCACUGGCAGAGUCCUGACAUCCACCAGGUCCGGAUUCCCUGGUCUGAGUUUUUUGAUCUUCCGAGUCUCAAUAAAAACAUCCCCGUCAUCGAGUAUGAGCAGUUCAUCGCAGAGUCUGGUGGGCCCUUUAUUGACCAGGUUUACGUCCUACAAAGUUAUGCAGAGGGAUGGAAAGAAGGGACCUGGGAAGAGAAGGUGGAUGAGCGGCCAUGUAUCGAUCAGCUCCUGUACUCCCAGGACAAGCACGAGUACUACAGAGGAUGGUUUUGGGGUUAUGAGGAGACCAGGGGUCUGAACGUCUCCUGUCUGUCCGUCCAGGGCUCAGCCUCCAUCGUGGCGCCUCUGCUUCUGAGAAACACACCAGCCCGGUCCGUGAUGUUAGACAGAGCCGAGAACCUACUUCAUGACCACUACGGAGGGAAAGAAUACUGGGAUACCCGUCGCAGCAUGGUGUUUGCCAGGCACCUGCGGGAGGUGGGAGACGAGUUCAGGAGCAGACACCUCAACUCCACGGAUGACGCGGACAGGAUCCCCUUCCAGGAGGACUGGACGAAGAUGAAGGUCAAGCUGGGCUCGGCACUAGGGGGCCCCUACCUGGGAGUCCAUCUGAGAAGAAAAGAUUUUAUCUGGGGUCACAGAGAGGAUGUGCCCAGCCUGGAAGGGGCCGUGAGGAAGAUCCGCAGCCUCAUGAAGAUCCACCGGCUGGACAAGGUGUUUGUGGCCACAGAUGCCGUCAGAAAGGAAUAUGAAGAGCUAAAAAAGCUGUUACCCGAGAUGGUGAGGUUUGAACCCACGUGGGAGGAGCUGGAGCUCUACAAGGAUGGAGGUGUUGCGAUUAUUGACCAGUGGAUCUGCUCACAUGCCAGGUGCCUGCCCCCUUCACCGUCGGCCGAGAGCGGGUUGGGGGACUUUCAAAGGUUCUUCCAUCCCAGGUACUCGGUGUCAGAGCAGAUGGUCACCUGUGUUCACAGUGGUCAUUUCCACACUGUUUACCUCCUCAUCUGAGUCUCCUGUAGCAUCUGGUUCAGUGUUUCCCUAGGCUGAAGUUAAUUGUGUAUCUUGCCCUUGCAAUUCUCACGCCCAGACUUCCUCCAUAGCAGGCUGUUGGCAUAGCUGGCCUCAUCUCAGAACCUCUUCUUGUGUCUCAUUUUCCCGUCAUUCCCAGUUUCUGCCCCGUCUGGCCCCUGCCCUGAGAGUUGCCCGUGCCCUCGAGUUGGGCACGUCCUUGGUGCUGUGUGUGUUGUUGAAGAGCAUCAUGAGCAUCGCCGAGGCCGGGAGCCUGGGCUCUGGUGCGGUCGUUCUCGUGGGGUUGUCGUGAGUGUCCCUGAGGCCGGGAGUCUGGGUCCUGUGUGCGAUCUUUCUUGUGGGGUUGCCACGAGCGUCCGCAAGGCUGGGAUCCUGGGCCCUGCGUGCCGUCAUUCUCGUGGGGCUGCUGUAGGAGGUAGGCCUGGGCCUCUGUUCCUCCAAAGACCUGUCUGCCCGUCUGCAUAGGAGACUAAGGUUGGGGUUAGGGUGAAACAGUUUGAGUUCAAUAAAAAAGGCAAGUAGAGGGAAUGGUCUUCCCGUGGUCAGCACUGUGCACGUGUGUGGGUCUCUGUGGGUUAGUCUGUCUCCCUCCUGCCCGAGGAAUGCUGAGCGCCCUGAGCCGGUGCCUCUUCACACAUCUGCUGUUUCCUGUGGUGUUCUGGGCAGUGCGUAAGACCCACAGAGGCUCCCGGUGAUGCUGUCUGCAGGGCGUGGAUCCCUUUACCUGUUAAGCAGACAGGAGGCAGCGCUGACUUCUUAGGUCAAGGUGGAGGUGUGUGGGAGCCCAGUCACAAGCUCACCCCUGCUUCUCAGGUGUGGCCUUGAGAUUUGACUGCGAGCUUGGCAGUGCUGUCUCCCCAGCCCAGGAGGCCUGACACUGAGGGGAGGCCUGACACUGAGGGGAGGCCUGACACUGAGCUCUUGGUCUCCUGCCCCCAGCUGCGUGAAGCACUUGGCCCAGCUCACUGAAGCUGCUCUGCCUCCAGGCUGGUGCAGCCUGCUCUGACAGGCCGCUGUGUGUGGGGUGGUGAGGGUCUCCCCACCAACGCCGCCCCCACCCAGCAGCACACAGGCCUGUGCAGCCUGCUGGCCCUAUGUUUCCGUGUACAGCGCUGGGCACGUCACGUUUGCUCUGGAAACAUCUCUGGGGUUUGCUUGUUCAUGAAGUUCAUGAAGUGCUGCUGGAGAGCCAGAGACCAACUGCGCAGGAGCCAGAGGAAUGGGCAGGCCGCUGACCCGAGGAUAAGGACCCCCCAUGCCUUGGCUAGACAGUGUUGUGAUUAGUAGGAAUCUCUCAUUGUUCACCAUGUGACCCACAGGAGGUAUUUGACCUGCACCGGCAGGCCUGGUCCAGGAGGUAUUCGACCUGCACCGGCGUGCCUGGUCUGGGAUUUGGUGACGGAGACGAGAGCUCCUGGGGGGUGCAUGUGGUGGGACAGGAGUGUGGUGGCUGCUGACCGUGGGGUGGGGAUGGGGCUGCAGCACCAGGCAGAGCCCCUCAGGGCGCAGAUGUCAAGGGCACCUGAGCGAGGGGUUCCAGCAGGGAGGCGGCUGUGUCGGUUCCAUGUAACUCUGGAACUCAUUUCACUCACCUGCUCCUCUCAGUUCUCCCUAACUCUGAAACCUCUGUGG